AGGAUAAACGCUGGCGGCGUGCCUAACACAUGCAAGUCGAACGCGCUUUCGGGCUUCGGUGCGAGAGCGAGUGGCGGACGGGUGAGUAACACAUGGGUACCUACCUUGGAGUGAGGGAUACCGGCGAGAAAUCGCCGACAAUACCGCAUAGGCUUCUUCACAAGGGAAGCAAAGUGACGCGAGUCACGCUGUGAGAUGGGCCUGUGGCCGAUUAGCUAGUUGGGGGGUAACGGCUUCCCAAGGCGACGAUCGGUAGCUGGUCUGAGAGGACGAUCAGCCACACUGGGAUUGAGAACGGCCCAGACUCCUACGGGGGGCAGCAGUGAGGAAUUUUCCGCAAUGGAGGCAACUCUGACGGAGCAACGCCGCGUGCAGGAGGAAGGUUUUCGGAUCGUAAACUGCUUUUCUCGGGGACGAGCAAGGACGGUACCCGAGGAAGAAGCCCGGCUAACUACGUGCCAGCAGCCGC
rnacentral:rRNA from 1 species